rnacentral:rRNA from 1 species
AGCGAACGCUGGCGGCAGGCCUAACACAUGCAAGUCGAACGAACCUUUCGGGGUUAGUGGCGGACGGGUGAGUAACACGUGGGAACGUGCCUUUAGGUUCGGAAUAACUCAGGGAAACUUGUGCUAAUACCGAAUGUGCCCUUCGGGGGAAAGAUAUAUCGCCUUUAGAGCGGCCCGCGUCUGAUUAGCUAGUUGGUUGAGGUAAUGGCUCACCAAGGCGACGAUCAGUAGCUGGUCUGAGAGGAUGAUCAGCCACAUUGGGACUGAGACACGGCCCAAACUCCUACGGGAGGCAGCAGUGGGGAAUCUUGCGCAAUGGGCGAAAGCCUGACGCAGCCAUGCCGCGUGAAUGAUGAAGGUCUUAGGAUUGUAAAAUUCUUUCACCGGGGACGAUAAUGACGGUACCCGGAGAAGAAGCCCCGGCUAACUUCGUG